AUGUCAGGACACUUAAGCAAAAAUGAUCAAUGUUUUGGAAAAACNGUCCUGAAACUGCAGCCUCCAGUUGUGCAGGAAUACCCUUCUCCCAUCUGCCCAGCACAGUUCAUUCUGACCACAGAGGGGCGCUGUCUGCCCUGCUGCGCCAAUACAGAACAGGAAGUUCAGCGGGAGUGCUGUAACUGUACCGAGACCAGAGGUGAGUGUGUCCUCAGCACUAACUUUGCCUUUUGUAAUCACGAGGAAGAGGAAAACACAGGAAACCUAUUCAUCACUACCUCCAUCCUGCUUGUUUUCGCCUUACUUGCUGUAAUCAUCCUCAUUAAGCGUUCUCUUUCCAAACAACCCAUGCCUGAGCCUUCUGUCCCACGCCGGUAUGAAAAACUGGGCCAUGGUGGUGGCAAAGACAGCUUCUACAGAGGCACAUCAUCAUCUACCUGCACCUACGGUGGUCAAGCAAGCUCUAGUUCUGGACAGUUCCGUGAGUCACAGCUGGUGGACCUCAGUGAUCAGAAGGCGGGACAGGAUGAUGACGAUGAAGAUGAUGAAGAUGAAGAUAUUUUGUACAUGGGACAGGACGGGACUGUGUAUCGCAAAUUCAGUUACGGGCAGCUGGGAGACGAGCAGGAGGAUGAGUUAGAAUAUGACGAUGAGAGCCACAACUACCGAUAACAUCUUCAGCUGUUUAAAUUAAAAUUAAUUCUGCAGGGUUACUGAAAUAAUUGUAAAAAAAAAUAAAUAAAAAAGAGUUCAGCAAAGUUGACUAUGACAAAUUGUAGUUUUAAGAUUUUAAUCAAUAGUUCUUUCAGCUGCUUGUCUUUUUUGAUCUCUUUCGUCUUUCAGCUUUUAUGAAGACUUUUUUUGUUUUGUUUCACCUGUGAGAAUGAUUUUUUUUGGAAUGUGUGUAUUAUGUCAAUGGUUCCUGUGCAGUACUUUUAUGGACAUUAUAAUAGCAGAAGUAUAAAUGAGCCCAGAAGUACAGACUGAGUAAAAAUUUCAGACCUGAGGAUCUGGAAGAUGUUGCUGCUGACCGCACCAUCUGGCGACAGCUAUGUGGAGAUGGGGUUCGUACACUAGAGAUGGAGAGGACAACCAGAAGACAGCAAAAGGGAGCCAGG
rnacentral:lncRNA from 12 species